rnacentral:lncRNA from 1 species
GAAAUGUCAAAUGAAUGACCGCGCCGGAGCGCGAGGAAGGAAAACAAAGCCACCUCCCGCGGUCCCGUACCUGCGGCGCGAGGGCCGGGCGCGGGCCACGCACUCACCUGGGGCUCGGCGCCGCCGCAGCCGCCGCGGGCUGCGGGUGGGAACGGGGCCGCGGGGCGGGAGGGCGCCCCCGCAGUCGACCCGACCCGGGGCCCCGGCGCCCUCCGGCCGGUCCGCGCACGCCGCGGGGAAAGCAGGCGGCCGGGGGCGCCGCCGCGCGUCGCAUGCAGCUCCCGGCUGCGGCGGCCGCUGCCAAGGGUACCAGGGGACCCUGCGCUGCCGCCCCCGACCCCGCGACCCGAGGCGGCGACGGGAGAGACGCGGCGCAGGAGCAGAGCGCUCUCGGCGCGCCCCUCAGCGACUCUUCCCGCCGCCCUCCGCAGCGGGCUGGGUCUCCGCUCGCCUUUGUGCUGGCAUCUUCCUUCGUUCCCAGCGACACUCGGAGCUCCUCCGUCGGCUCCGCGCAGCCGCCCACCCCCGGGUUACGCCGCGCCCCCCGCGCGACCCGCCGAUUGUGUCGAGUCAGCACCAGCCGCGGCGGGGACGCGCGAAGCCAUGUCUCCAGCCCGCGCUCGAGAGGGCGGCCGGGGGUCCGGGCGCCGCGGAUCCAUCUGGAUCACCAGGUGUUGUGACAAUAAGGUGGAGGGCCAGACACCUUAUCAGCUAAUGAAUGUGUCCCUCAGGAUCCAGCACAGAAGUAUACAGUGGCUAUGAUUCAUUUACUAUGCUGUCAUUCAGUGAUGCCCUCAGGUGCUAGGUAGGUAUAACAUGUUUUUGCCUCUACAACAAUAGCCUUAGAUUAUUACAGUUUUUCUUGUAGUGGUGGUACUUAAAAAAUAACUUUCUUCUUAGAACCCCAUAUUUUUCCUACCUAUCACCUUUUCUUUUAUUGACAAUCUUAUCUCAUUCUAAGUUCCUGCUUACGGCC